GACGGAAGGUGCAAGCGUUGCUCGGAAUCACUGGGCGUAAAGGGUGCGUAGGCGGCCGUGCAAGUCUGGCGUGAAAGCCCCGGGCUCAGCCCGGGAAGUGCGCUCGAAACUGCGCGGCUCGAGUGCCGGAGGGGAGAGUGGAAUUCCUGGUGUAGCGGUGAAAUGCGUAGAUAUCAGGAAGAACACCCGUGGCGAAGGCGGCUCUCUGGUACGUGACUGACGCUGAGACGCGAAAGCGUGGGGAGCGAACAGG
rnacentral:rRNA from 1 species